UACGUAGGCAGCGAGCGUUGUUCGGAGUUACUGGGCGUAAAGAGUGCGUAGGCGGUUUUCUAAGUUUGGUGUGAAAUCUCCCGGCUUAACUGGGAGGGUGCGCCGAAGACUGGAAGGCUUGAGUAUGGGAGAGGUAAGCGGAAUUCCUGGUGUAGCGGUGAAAUGCGUAGAUAUCAGGAGGAACACCUGCGGUGUAGACGGCUUACUGGACCAUCACUGACGCUGAGGCACGAAAGCGUGGGGAUCAAACAGG
rnacentral:rRNA from 1 species